GAAAGAUGAAACAAACGAAAAACUUGAUUUAAUAACAUAGGAAUUUCAUAACCUUUUUUUUGUGGUGGUGGUGGGUGGGAUCCUAAAAUCUCAAAUAAAUGGGAAUGAAGACUAAACAAUAAGUGACUUAACAACAAAGAUAAAAGUUGAUCAUAUUAAAAGGUGUAACUGAUUGUCUCAUCCAAGCAUAACUUUAUAUUCAAGAACUUCAAUUAUCACCUCCGUGAUAAUUAUGAGUUCAAGAACUCAUCUCUUCUAGAUCAAGGGCAACUUCUGAAAUAAACUUGAAUUGCUCGGCUGGAACAUCACCUUUUAUUUCUUUUUUAAUUUUUUCCAACCGUGAUUUAUAUGCCUCAAAUUGCUUCAACCUGUUCUCCAACAUGUGUUUAUCUAUUGGCAUUUCUGAGUCAAGGUAUUUCUCCUUGAAUUCUUGUACUUCUUUACGAAGAUCUUCAAAUGCCUCAAAGACAUUUGUUUUGCUCAUAUCAGUAUGAUUCUGUAGGCUAUCAUUUUGUUUCAAUUCAUGAAACUUAUUAAUUACUUUUUCUAUACUUGGGGAGCCAUAGGAAUGUGGUUUUCCAGCUUGUGUAAAGAGAAUAAAACCGACAUCUGCUCCGGUUAGAUUUGAAUAGUCUUUUGCUUUCUUGCCCAAGCCAUUUUUUCUUUUUGAAAAAGCAACUGUGCGAGCUUCUUUAGACUCAAUCAACUUCAUUUCGAUCUUUUGUCUACCCUUUCCACCCCUCUUAUCCAUUGCAAAGUAAAUAAUUAGAGAAGAGAAAAGAUGUGUUGGUUGAAUAAGUCUGAGCAAUUUUGAAAAGAAUGCUUGUGUAAUUUAUAGUAGCUAUACAAGUUGGUUUGUCACAAGUAAUGACACGUUUAUUGAAAAUUUUAAUAUUAUAAGUUUAAUCAUCACGUGUAUUGUCAUGUAUACUUAUUGUGUUCACAUUACGACUUGAUUUGUCACAAGUAUUGACAGGUUUAUUUAAUAUGUUUAUAUUAUAAAUUUAAUCAUAAUGUGUUUUGUCAUGUAUGCUUAUUGUGUUCACAUUAUGAGUCUGUUGUCGCGAGUAUUGACAGGUUUAUUUAAUAUUUUCAUAUCAUUAGUUUAAUUAUACGUGUCUUGUCAUGUAAUAUUUUCAUAUUAUAAGUUUAAUCACCACACGUCUUGUCAUGUAUACUUUUUGCAUUCACAUUAUGAGUCAGUUUGUCAUGAGUAUUAACAAGUUUAUUGAUAUUUUAAUAUUAUAAGUUUAAUUAAUCAGCACAUGUCUUGUUAUGUAUACUUAUUGUAUUCACACUAUGAGUUAGAUUGUCACGAGUAUUGACAGGUUUAUUUGAUAUUUUUAAAGUAUAAGUUUAAUCGUCACGUGUUCUGUCAUGUAUGUUUAGUGUUCACAUUAUGAGUCAGUUACAAUGAGUAUUGACAGGUUAAUUUAAUACUUUCAAAUUAUAAGUUUAAUCAUCACGUGUCUUGUCAUGUAAUAUUUUCAUAUUAUAAGUUAAAUCAUCACGAGUAUUAACAGGUUUAUUUAAUAUCUUCAUAUUAUAAGUUUAAUUGUCACAUGUCUUCUCAUGUAUAAAUGUCUAGUAACACUAAAUUUGUUGUGCAUGCGUUACAACUCAUAUAAUAUUGUGCUCACUAAUAUGAGUUAGUUUGUCACGAGUUUAACAAGUUUAUUAAGUAUUUUCAUAGUAUAAAUUUAACUAUCAUGUGUCUUGUCAAGUAUAAAUGUCUAGUAAUACUAAAUUCAUUGUGCAUCCAUUACAACUCUUACAAUAUUGCGCUCACUAGUACACUUUGAGUUAGGCCUAUAAUUAAAUUAUUCUAUAAAAAGAUAUUUAUGCCUUUUAUAAGUUUCAUAUGAAACUAGUUUCUCGACGCGUGCGUCACACGUGUAUGCCUAGUCACACAAUACAAAUUCUGUUAAAUAUUAAUAAUACUCGUUGAAAUAAAAUUGAGUGAACCCUUUAGUACCCCCAUAGUCUAACUUCCUGAGGAUGUCAAAAAUUUCUUAAAAUCGAGUUCAGUGGGGGUAAUAAGACCCCAGCGAAGUUGAAGUUUGUCGUAGCAACUUUGAUCAUAGUUCGAGGAGGUAUUUAAAUGCUUAUCUCAAUAAAAUUUAUAUUAAGAAAAAGUGCACAUUUAUGUAACUAAUCAAUGCAGAUCACCCGUGGAACUAGCCGGAACUCCGCCUUGAAACAGCGGGGGCCGGUGGGUACAGCUAGUCGGGUUCACAAAGCGAUACCCAGAAACACGGAUAUAAAAAAAUAAAAAAUAAAAAUCAAUGCAGAUCAUUAUUUGGUGACAUCUUUAUCGAGAUAAAGAUGACUGAAUGUUCCCUAAUCUAUGAAGAUGAACAAUUAAACUUUUGGAUACAUGUAUUAUUUAUACUAAGCGAAAAAAUAUAUCGUCACCAUUUUUAUUAUAUCAUCAAUUUACAAUUAUCAUAAUAACUUCACAACCGAUCGAUUCAUACCUUUAAGAAUUUCAGUCAUUUUUAGGAAAAUCCUCAUAAAGUAAAAAUUUACAAUUUUACAUAUAUUUUAAAUUAAAUACUUUAUAUUUAUUUAAACUUCUAAAAAAAUCACUAUUAUUUGUAAUCAUUAGCUCUCAUAUCUUAAUUUGUUCUUCUCCCAUUAGUGAUUUCUUUACCUUGAACCUCUUUCAAUUUCUAUUACUUUUAGAACAUAAUCAAUUUUUUUAAUUAUAAUUUGCUAAUAAGUAUACAUUUUUAACCUAAAAAGGUUGUAUGGAUAAAGGAAAAUGAGAUAUAAUAAAAUUAUAAGUUAUUUUUUGUACUUUUAUUAUGAUUAACAUUUCAAUUGAUUUACUAAUCUAGGUAAUAGAAAGAUUCAUUAAAGACGAAAGAUUAAACAAAUGGAAAACUUGAUUUAAUAACAUAGGAAUUUCAUAACAUCUUUUUGUUUUUGGUGGGGUGGGAAAUUUUGGGAGGCCGGGGUGUGGGGGUAAGGGUGUAGGAGGGUGUUCCUAAAAUCUCAAAAAAAAAUGGGAAUGAAGACUAAACAAUAAUUGACUUAACAAUAAAGAUAAAAGUUGAUCAUAUUAAAAGGUGUAACUGGUUAUGUCUCCUCCAACCACAACUUUAUAUUCAAGAACUUCAGUUAUCACCUCUGUGAUAAUUACGAUUUCAAGAACUCAUCUCUUCUAUAUCAAAGGUAACUUCUGAAAUGCCAAAUUGCUCGGCUGGAACAUCACCUUUUAUUUCAUUUUUAAUUUUGUCCAAUCGUAAUUUAUAUACCUCAAAUUGCUUUAACCUAUUCUCCAACAUGUGUUUAUAUGUUGGCAUUUUUGAGUCAAGGUCUUCCUCCUUGAAUGAUUAAAUUUUUACGAAGAUCUUCAAAUGUCUCAAAGACAUUUGUUUUGCUCAUAUCAGUAUGAUUCUGCUGGCUAUCAUUUUGUUUUAAUUCAUGAAACUUAUCAAUUACUUUUUCUAUACUUGGGAAGACAUAGAAAUGUGGUUUUUCAGCUUGUGUAAAAAGAAUAAAACCGACAUCUUCUCCGGUUAGAUUUGAAUACUCUUUCGCUUACUUGCCCAAGCCAUUUUUUCUUUUUGAAAAAGCAAUUGUGCGAGCUUCUUUAGACUCAAUCAACUUCAUUUUGAUCUUUUGCCUACCCUUUCCACCCCUUUUAUCCGUUGUGAAAUAAAUAAUUAGAGAAGAGAAAAGAUGUGUUGGUUGAAUAAGUCUGAGCAAUUUUGAGAGGAUUGCUUGUGUAAUUUAUAGUAGCUAUACAGGUUGGUUUGUCACGAGUAUUGACUCGUUUAUUGAAUAUUUUCAUAUUAUAAGCUUAAUCAUCACUUGUAUUUUCAUGUAUACAUAUUGUAUUCACAUUACGAGUUGAUUUUUCAUGAGUAUUGAACGAUUUAUUUAAUAUUUUUAUAUUAUAAAUUUAAUCAUCGUGUGUUUUAUCAUGUAUGCUUAUUGUGUUCACGUUAUGAGUCUAUUGUCUCGAGUAUUGACAGGUUUAUUUAAUAUUUUCAUAUCAUUAGUUUAAUCAUCACAGGUCUUUUCAUGUAAUAUUUUCAUAUUAUAAGUGUAAUCAUCACACGUCUUGUCAUGUAUACUUUUUGCGUUCACAUUAUGAGUCAGUUUGUCAUGAGUAUUAACAAGUUUAUUGAUAUUUUCAUAUUAUAAGUUUAAUUAAUCGUCAAGUGUCUUGUCAUGUAUACUUAUUAUAUUCACAUUAUGAGUUGGUUUGUCACAAGUAUUGACAGGUUUACUUGAUAUUAUAUUAUAAGUUUAAUCAUCACGUGUUCUGUCAUGUAUGCUUAUUGUGUUCACAUUAUGAGUCUUUUGCAACGAGUAUUGACAGGUUAAUUUAAUACUUUCAAAUUAUAAGUUUAAGCAUCACUUGUCCUAUCAUGUAAUAUUUUCAUAUUAUAAGUUAAAUCAUCACGAGUAUUAACAGGUUUAUUUAAUAUCUUCAUAUUAUAAGUUUAAUUGUCACGUGUCUUCUCAUGUAUAAAUAUCUAGUAACACUAAAUUUGUUGUGCAUGCAUUACAACUCAUAUAAUAUUGUGUUCCCUAAUAUGAGUUGGUUUGUCGCGAGUUUAACAAGUUUAUUAAGUAUGUUCAUAUUGUAAAUUUAACCAUCACGUGUCUUGUCAAGUAUAAAUGUCUAGUAAUACCAAAUUCAUUAUGUAUCCGUUAGAAGUCUUACAAUAUUGCGCUCACUAGUACACUUUGAGUUAGGCCUAUAAUUAAAUUGUUCUAUAAAAAAAUAUUUAUGCCUUUUAUAAGUUUCAUUUGAAACUAGUUUCUCGACGCGUGCGUCACACGUGUAUGCCUAGUCACACAAUACAAAUUCUGUUAAAUAUUAAUAAUACUCGUUGAAAUAAAAUUGAGUGAACCCUUUAGUACCCCCAUAGUCUAACUUCCUGAGGAUCCUAUUCCUCCCCCCACCCCACCCCACCCCCCGCGCUAAAAAAACUCAAUUUUGCAUAUUUUUGUCACUAUUUUGGACUGACAUGACACCUUUUGUCAACCUUUUUAGAUGACGUGACACCUUUGAUGUGGAACCCCAUUUUAUGUUAUAAAGGUGCCAUAUCAGCACAAAAGGGUAUCCAAAAUAUGCUAAAAUUAAGUUCGGUGGGGGUAAUAGGACCCCUGCGAAGUUGAAGUUUGUCAUAAUAACUUUGAUCAUAGUUUGAGGAGGUAUUGAAUGCCUAUCUCAAUAUAAUUUAGAUUAAGAAAAAGUGCACAUUUAUGUAACUAAUCAAUACAGAUCAUUAUUUGGUGACAUCUUUAUCGAGAUAUAGAUGACUAAAUGUUCCCUAAUCUAUGAAGAUGAACAAUUAAACUUUUGGAUACAUGUAUUAUUUAUACUAAGCAAAAAAUAUAUCAUCACCAUUUGUAAGAUACCCCGCAAAAUCUUAUGUUGAUAAUCAGCUCUUUUAACUCCAAAAAGCUUUUUUGAAGGUCCAACACUUAGAACAUUUUAGCUAGGUGUUCAACACUUAAUCUUAUUUUAAGCCUUCAAAGUCGGAGAUUUAUUUGACGUCCUUUUCGACAUUCAUUUUUUAUUUUUCAAGUUGCGUUGUGAUGGGGCAAGUCAAUAGUACAUUCCAGGUGAGUUUCAGAAUUUUCAAAAUCAGUUUAGGGCAUGUUUGGAUUUUGAAACAGUAGCAUCCUGCGAUUAGCAUGCGACGCAUGCUCCAUCUCACAGUCCCUAGCAUGCGAUAGAGCAUGCGACGCAUGCUCCAACUUAGUGUAUUAAGGGUAAAUUGAACUUUUUCCCCACCCUAUAUAUAUAUAUUCAAAAACACGGGAUUAAACCCAUUUUGAACCAAAAUACACUCAAAAUUCUCAAAAUCCUCUCAAGAACACCUUAGGCAUUCAAUUGGGGAUUUAAGUUCAAGAAAUUCAACCACAAACUUUGGGAAAUCAAGAACUAAGGUAUUCAUAGUGUUCAUUCAUGGAUUCCUUUCAUCCGUGAAGCCUAAGAAUCAAGUUUUAAACUAUGAAUUAUGAUAUUCAUGUAAUGGGUUGAUUUUGUUCAUGUGGUUGUUGUUGUAUGAUUCCCAAGUUGAAAUCUUUAUGUGUUGUUCACGAAACAAUGAAAGUAUGUGAAUUAAAACUUGUGCAAUUUAGUUGAAUUAUGGUGUUUUGACGCAUUAAUUGAUAAUCAUACCUAUGCCCUAAGUGGUGCAUGCAAGGAGUUUGAUAAAAUGCCUAAGAUACUAGAAACCAUGCCCAAUAGCUAAAUUAUGACCUAAAUGAUGAAUGCAUGAUAUUCCCUUAUGAUCAAUAUGACUUCCAUGAUAUUAUUGUGCAUUAUGAUAGUUGAUGGAAUGCUCAUGAAACUAGAUUGAUGAACCUAUGACUUUGAUUAUAUGCAUUCCUACCAUGUACAAGAUUAUGAUAAACAUGUGUUCCAUGAAAUCCCAAUUUAUUGUAUUAUGAAUUGUUGAUGAUUGUCAUGUAUUCAAGAAAGUCAUGCUUUGUCAGUUUCCUUCUAUUGAGUCCUUGGGGUACUUGUACCCGAAAAUAUUAUUGUGUGCCUAGAGUCAGUGUCAUGUUGUCACGAUAUCCUUAGUCAAGCCCCGAUCCAUAGAAUUCAGUCAGUCAUGUGACUCAGGAAAGUUCAGAAAUUCAGUAAUCUUAGUAGUAUCUGUCAGUCCUCGAAAAUUAGUUAAAUCAGUUUGGUUCAGUCCAGUUUAAUCAUAUUCAGUGUCUAUUCAUAUGAGAGUAGGAUUUAGCACCGAGCAAACCCAAGGAUGGAAACUCACCUGUUAGUUUAGGGUGUGAUUCUUAGAAGCAAUCCUUGUGUUCCAGAGCUACGUAGCCAGGUAGGUUGAGAUAUCCAACCUGCCAGUUGAGGGUUGAUGAGGUGGAUUAACCUGCCAAUUUUGGGUUCCCACCAUUCUCAUUAGAGUAUCUGCCAGUUGAGGAUCACCCACGGCUUGUCCUUACCGGUGGCGCGGUAUUGAAACUCUUCCAAUUGGGGUUAUAAAUUGGAACGCAACUCAGUUAUAUUACUUAUUUGGGGCAUGUCGGUUUGAUGACUACUUCCCACAGUUUCAGUAACAUUAUCAGUAAAAGAACUUAGAUAGUUCUUCAAAUUUCUGGACUGUCAAAUACAGUCACCUCAACUCAAUAGGGAACUCAGAUAGUUUCAUCAAAUUCAGGCCUGUUAGAUACAGUCACUCAUGUUAUCAGUAUAUCAGUUAUUAGAAUUCAUGUUAUCAGUCAUAUUAGAUAUCAGUAACUCAGGUUAUCAGUAUUCAGAUUCAAAAAUCAUGUUAUUACGAUAUCAGUGUCAGUCAUUAUGUUUUAUGUAUGUGUUCUCACGCUCAUGAUAGUCAGUCUGUUAGUAUUAUUUCUCAUGUAUAUGAACCCCUUGCAUUCAGCCUACCUCACAUGCAUACCAGUACAUUCAAUCGUACUGAUACAUUCGCGCUAUGUGGUUUUAAUACCAUAGGUUCAAAGGCACGAGAUCCAGAGCGUCAGUAGCAGUCCAGUUCCAGCAAUCAGAAUUAGCAGUGAGUCCUCAUCCUUUGAGGACAUGGUUAUUACCUUAUCAUUUCAGUAUUCGAGACUUAGUUUAUUUUAGUAGUUGGAGUUAGUUGGGGACAUGUCCCAUCAACUCCUUAUUCAAAAAGUUAGAGGCUUUUCAGACUAUCAUGUUUCAGAUAGUUUAUUUUAGUUGUGUUGGGUAUUUCAUACCCCAUUAAAAUGUUGUGUUUUAUCAUAUUUGAACCUUAUGGCCUUCCAGUCUUUAUUUCCAUAUUUAUUCAAUAUAUUAUGUAGUGUACAGGUACAGAUAUCAGUCAUGGGUUAGCUUGUGGUUCUUCAGAGUCAUGAGUAUCGUGUAGCACUUUGGGUACCAAAUUUGGCUCGUUAAAAACUUAGUAUCAGACCUAAGAAGUCUGAAAGCAGCAUCUAGUAGAGUCUUGUGCAUGGGUGUUUGCGCGCCACAUUUAUGUACAUGAGGCUAUGAGAUGUUUUAGGAACAAUUUCCCUUAUUUCAGUAUUCAUGUCGUGCCAGUGAGCAUAAUCUCAAGUUAAACUCUCAGUCUAAUCCAUUUCUCCUCUUCAUUUACAGAACAUGCCUCCCAAGAGAAGAAAUCAGCCUGUCCAAGAAGAUUUCUUGGCCAAAAGUAUUUCUCAUGCGAAGUUUAGAGCCGCAUUCACUACUCUUGCUCAGUCAGUUACUGCUCAGAAUGAAUGACCAGUAGUUUUUUCGGCUAACCCAAUGGCCAAUUCAGCUAUAUCUAGGAUUUGGGACUUCACCCGAAUGAACCCUCCAUCCCUUUUUGGGUCUAAGUCAGAUGAGGACCCUUAGGAAUUCAUUGAUCAGGUUCAGAAGUUUACAGACAUCAUGAGGGUGAUUGCCGUUGAGAGUGAUGAGCUAGCUGCAUAUCAGUUGCAGGAUAUAGCUUACACUUGGUUCAAACAGUGGAAGUCAGAGAGGUCAGAUGAUGCAUGUCUUAUAGAGUGGGAGGAGUUUGUCACUGCAUUCUUAGAUAGAUUCUUUCCCCAAGAGCUGAGAGAGGCUAAGGUGCUAGAAUUUAUCAACUUCAGGUAGGGAAACAUGAUGGUGAAAGAGUAUUCUCUUAAGUUACUCAAUUAGCCAGAUAUUCUCCUCAUGUGGUUGCAGAUAGCAGGGCCAAGAUGAGUAAGUUUGUUUCUAGGUGAAUGAUAGUGUGGUGAAUGAGUGUAGGUCUGCGAUAUUGAAAAGUGACAUGACCAUAGCCAGGAUUAUGAAUCGUGCUCAACAAAUAGAAAAUCAGAAGAUUAAGAUGAGAGAGAAGCAGAAUAAAAGAGCAAGGUCAGGUAGUUUUAACUUUGCUCAGCCUAAGUCAGAAGGAGAAAACUGUUCUCAUUUUUGCCCUAAGUCAUUAGUUCCAGCUCUUUCAUCCUCUAGUGCCCCAGUAUCAAAAUUCAGAGACGGCAACAGAGAUAGAACGUCAGGCUCUCAGUCUCAGGGCAGUGUUAGCAGUGCCCGAACUAAUCCUCUUUGUCAGACUUGUGGCAAGCACCAUCAAGGUAUUUGUAGAGCUGGCAGCGACAUUUGUUUCAGAUGUGUCAAGCCAAGACACAGAGUUUGAGAGUGUCCUCAGACAGGUUCUUAUUGUCAGUAGAAUCGUUCUACAACUCAGUCUGGUCGCCCAAACCAGUAGGGCGCCACUUCCAGCACUACAAGUGGGCAAUGCCCAAAUAGACUCUAUGCUCUCCAGACCUGAAAAGAUUAGGAAAAUUCUCCUGGUAUGGUUACUGGUAACGUUACAGAUCUUUCAUGUGCACGUUUAUGCUUUGCUAGAUCCAGGAGCUUUCUUUUCUUUUAUUACUUCUUAUAUAGCAGUUGAUUUUGGAGUGAGUCACGAAAUUUUAGCAGAGCCCUUCUCAGUAUCUACCCCAGUAGGUAAGACCAUUAUUGCUCGGUGGGUAUACCAGAACUGCCCGGUCAUGAUAUUUUAGAAAGCCACUUCAGCAGACUUAGUCGAAUUAGAGAUGACUGGUUUCGAUGUCAUUCUCAUCAUGGAUUGGCUUUAUUCCUGUUAUGCCACAGUCGAUUGCAAAAAUAGAAUUAUUCAGUUUCAGUUCCCAAAUGAACCCAUCUUAGAGUGGAGGGGUAGUACUUCAGCUUUUAGAGGUCAGCUUAUUUUUUACCUUCGGGCACGGAAAAUAAUAUCUAAGGGAUGUGUCUAUCAUCUUAUUCAUGUUAAGGACACUAGUUCCGAAACUUCCAGUCUUAAAUCGUCCUAGUGGUUAAUAAAUAUUCAAAUGUCUUUCUUGAAGAUCUCUCAUGAAUUUCUCUCGAAAGGGAAAUAGACUUCGGCAUUAAUCUUCUUCCAGAUACUCAGCUCAUAUCUAUUCUGCCAUACAGAAUGGUACCAACAGAACUCAGAGAGAUGAAAGAACAGUUGAAGGACCUCCUAGAUAAGGGAUUCAUCAGGCCUAGUGUUUCCCCAUGGGGUGCACCAGUCUUGUUCGUGCGCAAGAAAGACGGUUCUCUCAGGAUGUGUAUUGAUUAUCAUCAUCUCAAUAGGUCACGAUCAAGAACAAGUAUCAUUUUUCCAGAAUCAAUGACUUAUUUCACCGACUUCAAGGUGAUAGUUACUUCUCCAAAAUAGACCUCAGAUCGGGCUAUCAUCAGCUCAGAGUCAGAGAAAGUGAUAUUCCAAAAAUAGCUUUUCGUACUCAGUACGGUCACUUUGAAUUCCUAGUUAUGUCCUUUGGCCUUACCAAUUCCACAGUAGCUUUCAUGGACUUGAUGAACCGUGUGUUCAAGCAGUACGUGGACAUAUUUGUCAUAGUCUUCAUAAAUGAUAUUUUGGUCUAUUCUCGCACUGAGCGAGAUCAUGCAGACCAUCUCAGAAUAGCACAUCAGACUCUCAAAGACCAUCAGCUAUUCACUAAAUACAUUAAGUUCGAGUUUUGGAUAAGGUAUGUAGCAUUCCUUGGUCAUAUAAUUUUCGUGAUGGCAUUAGAGUCGAUUCUCAAAAGACCGAAGCAGUAAGAAAUUGGCCUUGCCCCAUCUCUUCAUCAGAUAUAAGGAGUUUCUUAGGUUUGGAUGGCCAUUAUAGAUGGUUUGUUGGAGGAUUUUCAUCCAUUGUGUCCCCUAUGUCCAGAUUGACUCAGAAGAAAGUCAAAUUUCAGUGGUCAGAUCUUUGCGAGAAUAUUUUUCAGGAGUUGAAGACUAGACUCACUUUAGCUCUAGUUUUAGAUCCUCCAGAUAGUCUAGAUGGCUUUGUAUUUUAUUGUGAUGCAUCCAUAGUAGGUUUGGGUUGUGUCCUCAUGCAGCAUAGUAAGGUCAUAGCUUAGGCCUCCAGAUAGCUUAAGUCCCAUGAGAAGAAAUAUCCUACUCAUGGUCUUGAGUUAGUAGUCGUAGUAUUUGCCUUAAAGAUUUAGAGGCAUUAUCUAUACGUAGUUCAUGUAGAUGUGUUCAUAGACCAUAUGAGCCUUCAGUAUGUCUUUUCUCAAAAAGACCUCAAUCUUUAUCAGAGGAGGUGGUUAGAGAUAUUGAAAGAUUAUAACAUGAGUGUCUUUUAUCACUCGGGCAAGGCCAAUAUAGUGGCCAACGCUCUCAGUAGACUAUCUAUGGGUAGUGUUUCUCAUGUUGAGGACAGUAAGAAGAAGUUAGCUCAGGAAGUCCAUCAACUUAUCAGACUAGGUUUUCGCUUAGUCGAUACAACAUAGGGUGAUAUAUGGGUUCAGAGUAGUUCGGGAUCAUCUCUAGUGUUCGAGGUGAAAGAAAAGCAAGAUAGAGAUCCCAGCUUUGUCAAGAUAAAAGAGUCAGUCAAGGACCAGAAAAUAGAGGUUUUCUCCUAAGGGGGAGAUGGUGUCUUGCGUUGUCAGGGUCGUCUCUGUGUCCCAGGUAUAGAUGAAUUAAGGUAGCGAAUUCUGGCAGAAACGCAUGGUGCAUGAUACUCUAUUCAUCCAGGGGCUACUAAAAUAUACUGCGACUUACGGGAGAUCUAUUAGUGGAGUGGGAUGAAGAGAGAUGUUGCAGAGUUUGUGGCUAAGUGCUUUACAUAGAGUAUCAGAAGCUUAGUGGUCCCAUGUAGGAGUUCAUUAUUCCCACCUGGAAAUGGAAAGAAGUGAACAUAAACUUCGUGACGGGUUUUCCUCGAACUCAUAAUCAGCAUGAUUCAGUUUGGGUCAUUAUAGACAGGAUGACCAAAUCAGCUCAUGUCCUUCCAGUUCAUACCUCUUAUUUAACUGAGGAUUAUGCCAAACUUUAUAUCAGGGAGUUGGUCAGAUUGCACGGUGUUCCAUCAUCUAUUAUUUCAGACAGAGGUACCAGUUUACUUCUCACUUUUGGAAAGCGUUCCAAAAGGGUCUUAGUACCCAAGUCCAUAUCAGUACAUCCUUUCAUCCUCAGAUAGAUGGUCAAGCAGAAAGGACCAUUCAUACCCUAGAAGAUAUGCUACAAGAGUGUGCAAUUGAUUUCAAGGGUAGUUGGGAUGACCACUUGCCUUUGAUUGAGUUUGCAUACAACAACAACUAUCAUUCCAGUAUUAAGAUAGCUCCAUUCGAAACUCUCUAUAGUAGGAAGUGCAGAUCUCCAGUUGGGUGAUUUGAGAUUAGUAAGGCCUCAGUUAUAGGGCCUUACUUAGUAUUCAACGCCUUAAAAAAGUCCAGUUGAUCAGAUAAAGACUUCGGGUUGCUCAAAGCCUACAGAAGUCUUAUGCAGAUGUGCGCAGAAAGGAUCUCAAGCUUGAGAUAAGUGAUUUUUUCUAUCUAAAGAUCUCUCCCAUGAAGGGAGUGAAGAGAUUCGGCAAGAAAGGAAAGCUCAGUCCCCAAUAUGUCGUUCCCUUCAAGAUUCUCAAUCAUUUCGACAAGGUAGAUUAUGAGCUCGAGUUGCCUUCAGAUCUAGCCUCAGUUCAUCCAAUCUUUCAUAUCUCCUUGCUCAAGAUGUGUAUAGGUGACCUAUCAGUCGUAGUCCCUAUUCAGAGCAUAGAUGUUCAGAACAACCUCUUUUAUGAAGAGAUUCCAGUCAAAAUUCUAGACUAUUAAACUCAUAGACUGAGGAAUAAAGAAGUCCCUAUAGUCAAAGUUCUUUGGCGAAAUCAGUCCAUUGCGGGAGCUACUUGGGAAGCAGAAGUAGAUGUGUAAAGUACCCUUACCUCUUCUCUGCCAACUCAGACCAAGCUCAAGGUAACAGUUCUCCUUAAGUUUAUUUAGUUUCAUGUUCAGAAUCCCAUUAUAAAUUUGGUAUAAUACACCAUUGCAUAUUCAGUCACGCAUUCAUAUGUCAGUUCAAUUAUAUAAUCAUAUAUCAGAUAUGCAUUCUCAUUUUGAGAACCUCAGUUAUCAGGAAUUUCAAUCAUGUAUUCAUGAAUCAGUUAUCCAUGCAUCAGAUAUGCAUGUUCAGAAUUCAGUCAUGUCAGCCAUGAAAUUAUGUUCAGUUGUUUAUGCUUAGUAUUCACGUCAGUUAUCUUUUCUCCCCUCUUGUUCAGUCCCAUUCGGGGACGAAUGUUCCCAAGGGGGAGAUAUUGUAAGACCCCGCAAAAUCUUAUGUUGAUAAUCAGCUCUUUUAGCUCCUAAAAGCUCUUUAGAAGGUCCAACACUUAGAAUAUCUUAGCUAGGUAAGUUAAAUCAUCACGAGUAUUAACAGGUUUAUUUAAUAUCUUCAUAUUAUAAAUUUAACUGUCACGUGUCUUCUUAUGUAUAAAUGUCUGGUAACACUAAAUUUGGUGUGCAUGUGUUACAAAUCAUAUAAUAUUGUGUUCAAUAAUAUGAGUUGGUUUGUCACGAGUUUAACAAGUUUAUUAUGUAUUUUCAUAUUGUAAAUUUAACCAUCACGUGUCUUGUCAAGUAUAAAUGUCUAGUAAUACUAAAUUCAUUGUGCAUCCGUUACAACUCUUACAAUAUUGCGCUCACUAGUACACUUUGAGUUAUGCCUAUAAUUAAAUCUAUAAAAAAAAUAUUUAUGCCUUUUAUAAGUUUCAUAUGAAACUAGUUUCUCGACGCAUGCGUCACACGUGUAUGCCUAGUCACGCAAUACAAAUUCUGUUAAAUAUUAAUAAUACUCGUUGAUAUAAAAUUGAGUGAAAUAUCUAGUACCCCCAUAGUCUAACUUCCCGGGGAUCCUAUCCCCCCCUCCCCCUCCAACCUCAAUUCUGCGUAUUUUGUCACCAUUUUUUUACUGACAUGGCACCUUUUGUGAACCAUUUUAGAUGAUGUGACACCUUUGAUAUGGGACCUCAUUUUAUUUUAUAAAGGUGUCACUCAGCACAAAAGGGUGUCAAAAAUAUUCUAAAAUUGAGUUCGGUGGGGUAAUAGGACCCCUGCGAAGUUGAAGUUUGUUGUAACAACUUUGAUCAUAGUUCGAGGAGGUAUUGAAUGUUUAUCUCAAUAAAAUUUAGAUUAAGCAAAAUUGCACAUUUAUGUAACUAAUCAAUGCAGAUCAUUAUUUGGUGACAUCUUUAUCUAAUCAAUGCAGAUCAUUAUUUGGUGACAUCUUUAUCGAGAUAAAGAUGACUGAAUGUUGCCUAAUCUAUGAAGAUGAACAAUUAAACUUUCGGAUACACGUAUUAUUUAUACUAAGCAAAAGAUAUAUCGUCACCAUUUUUAUUAUAUCGUCAAUUUACAAUUAUCAUAACAACUUCACAACCAAUCGAUUCAUACUUUUAAGAAUUUCAGUCAUUUUUAGGAAAAUCCUCAUAUUAUAUAUAUAUAUAUAUAUAUUAUAUAUAUAUUAAUUCGUUCUUCUCCCAUUAGUGAUUUCUUUACCUUGAACCUCUUCCAAUUGCUAGUACUUUUAGAACAUAAUCAAUUUUUUAAUUAUAAUUUGCUAAUUAGUAUAUGUUAUAAACCUAAAAAGGUUUUAUGGGUAAAGGAAAAUAAGAUAUAGUAAAAUUAUAAGUUAGUUUUUUAGUUUUUGUACUUUUAUUAUGACUAGUCUAACAGCACGUGCCUCGCACGUGUAACAUUUGAUUAUUUAAAAUUAAAUAAUUAUAUUUAUUGCGAAAAUUUUUAAUAAAGUGUAAAAGUUCAAAGCACUUUUCAAAAAUCUUUCAUACUUUAAUAUAAUAAUGUAAACAUAAACAUAUAUACAUAUAUAUUUUGCCACCAGAAGUCCAAGUGAUUGAUGGAACAUUAUUUUUGCAUUUGCAAUCUAGUACGUCUUUCCGUUGUUGCCAUAUACUAAGAGAGACGCAUCAAUUUGAAUCAUAUUUGCAUUAUGAUUAUUUUUAUUUUUGUUUAUAAUUAAAAUCUUUCCUUAUGUUUAAAGUUAGAUCUUUAUAAAAUAUUAAUUGCAUUCUUACUCCGUACUUAAAUUUUUUAAAAGCUGGUACUUCUUAAACUUUUCUUAUUCUAAUGGUUUUAUAUUUAUUUAUAGAUUUUUCAAAUCUUCUUAAAAUCAAAUUUAGUUGACUUGGAAUUUUUAAUCUAAUGAAAAAGUAUUAAUUGUCAUUAAUUUUGAUGACUUUUAAUAAGAAAAGAUUUUACCAAUAUUUAAUUCAUUUUCAACUCUUAAAUUAGGAAAAAAAUAGUGAAAUUCUGAUGACUUCUAAUAAAAUAGAUUUUUGCUAUAAAUAUAUUUAAUUAGUUUUCAACUCUUAAGUAUUAGGAAAAUAUAGUGAAAAGACGAUUUUGUCUAAAACAAAGACUUUUAAUGAAGGACAAAAAGUUCAAACAAUAUUUCGAAGGCCCUUCACACUUACUCUUUAAUAUAAUAAUAUAAAUAUAAAUAAAUAUUUUACAUCAUCACUUUUGUGUUUGUUAUAUAUAUAUAUAUAUAUAUAUUACAUCAUCACUUUUGCGUUUGUCAUGCUACCUCUUUCCCAGAGACGCUUUAACUUGAAUCAUACUUGUGGUACGGUUAUUUUUUAUAUGUUUAAAAUUUUUUCUUGUUUUUAAAGUCAAAUCUUUACAAAAUCAUUAAUUAUAUUCUUACUACUUACUUAAAACUUUUAAAUAUUUGGUACUUCUUAAAUUUUUCUUAUUCUAACGCUUUUAUAUUUAUUUCUAGAUUUUUCAAAUCUUCUUGAACUCAAAUUUAAUUAAUUUAGAAUUUUUAAACUAAUAAAAAAAUUAUUAGUUGUCAUUAAUGUUGAUGACUUCUAAUAAACCAUAAAUAUAUUUAAUUAAUUUUCAAUUCAUAAAUAUUAGAAAAAAUAGUGAAAGGCGUUUUUGUAUAAAACAAAGAUUUUUAAUCAAGAAUAAAAAAUUCAAACAACAUUUCUAUAGCCCUUUACACUUUUAAUAUAUAUUAGAUAUAGAUAUAUAUAUAUAGAUAGAUAGAUUAUAGAUUAUAGAUUUAUAGAUUAUAGAUAAUUAAAAAAAUAACACACAAUGUAACGCUCUAUCCCGCAAUCUCAUUUAAAUAAUCAAAGUAAUUAAAAUAUAUAUUGCACAUUUUCCAGCACCCUAAAGACCGUUUUUAGCUAAAAACAUGGCUUUGGAGAAUCCUUUUUUUCUUUUUCUUUUUAUCUUGCAUUAAUAUGCUACACAUGAAAUAGGCUGGGUUUUCUGCAUAUAUUUUUCACAAAUUAAACUUCAUCACAUACAAUCGAGUAUAUUUCUUUUUUGAAAAGAAAAUAAAAGAUUAACCAAUUCAUUCCUGAUCAUCAAAAAGAAAUAGCAUCCCUUGCGAUAUAGAGGAGGAAUGUAGCAGGUAAGUAUACAUCUUAAGAAUUAGAAGGAACAAAACCUGUAUCAAAUCAUGAUUUAGUUAUAGUAACGUAGUUGUAAGGCACUUAAUACCUCAAUAUAAAAAAUAUAAAACAUGACUCUUACAAUUACAAUUUAGAACACAUAAACUGAUCACUUACCUUAUCAAAAAGAUUUUUAGCACUAACCUUAUUUUCCACAAUUAAUUCAAGAUCUUCUCCAAUUGAGAAGUUUGAUGUCUUUCUUUCCCCGAAUAUCUAUCACAAAUAGAGAAGAUAAAUAGUAAAACACAUAAAAUUAAUUUUUUAAAAUGAUAAAAUAAAAACUAUUCAUAAAACACUUCAGAAAGAUAUCAAGAAAAUAAAAACAAAACUAAAGUCUUAGAUGUAGCAUCAAUCCUAAAAAAUGGUAAAAUAAAAUUACAUGAAUCUAUAUUAUUAACUAAAGCGAAGCAAAAGUGAGUUGAUGAAAUGAAAUUGGCAUACAAGAAAACCUUUAGGACAAAGCCUAUUUUAGUUGGAAAAUGAUUCUAUUGACCCAUUUUGGGGGUCUAUAUCUAUAUUUUUUUGGGGGGGGGGGGGAACAAGUCUAUUAGUUAGAAAAGGAUUUUGCCUAUUUUUUGGGACUUAAUGCUGCUGCACGUACAAAAAACAAAAGUAAAAACAAAGGCACGGAAUUUAAUCAUCAUACCAUAAACUUAGUAAUUUAACAGAAAAAAAUAUUAUUUUAAUGAAUUAAGGAAAUAUUUUAUCAUAAAUAUAUUUAAUUAAUUUAUAAUUUUUAAAUAUUAGAAAAAAUAGUGAAAAGACAAUUUUGUCUAAGACAAAGACUUUUAACGAAGGUCAAAAAGUUCAAACGCUAUUUCUAAGACCCUUUACACUUUUAAUAUAUUAUAGAUAUAGAUUAUAGAUUAUAGAUUAACAUUUCAAUUGAUUUACUAAUCUAGAUAAUAGAAAGCUUCAUUAAAGACGAAAGAUGAAACAAAGAGAAAACUUGAUUUAAUAACAUAGGAAUUUCAUAACCUUUUUUUGUUUUUGGAACAAAGAUAAAAGUUCAUCAUAUUAAAAGGUGUAACUGGUCAAGUCUCCUCUAGUCACAACUUUAUAUUCAAGAACUUCAAUUAUCACCUCCGUGAUAAUUAUGAGUUCAAGAACUCAUCUCUUCUAGAUCAAGGGCAACUUCUGAAAUGAACUUGAAUUGCUCGGCUUGAACAUCACCUUUUAUUUCAUUUUUAAUUUUGUCCAACCGUAAUUUAUAUGCCUCAAAUUGCUUCAACUUGUUCUCCAAUAUGUGUUUAUCUGUUGGCAGUUCUGAGCCAAGGUCUUUCUCCUUGAAUGCUUGUACUUCUUUACGAAGAUCUUCAAAUGCCUCAAAGACAUUUGUUUUGCUCAUAUCAGUAUGAUUCUGUUGGCUAUCGUUUUGUUUUAAUUCAUGAAACUUAUCAAUUAUUUUUUCUAUACUUGGGGAGCCAUAGGAAUGUGGUUUUCCAGCUUGUGUAAAGAGAAUAAAACCGACAUCUGCUCCGGUAAGAUUUGAAUAGUCUUUUGCUUUCUUGCUCAAGCCAUUUUUUCUUUUUGAAAAAGCAACUGUGCGAGCUUCUUUAGACUCAAUCAAAUUCAUUUCGAUCUUUUGCCUACCCUUUCCACCCCUUUUAUCCAUUGCGAA
rnacentral:lncRNA from 1 species